ensembl:lncRNA
CACCCGUCUGCCUUCAUGAGGGCGUAUGGUUUAUUUACUGAUGGAAUAGCUUUUGGACACUAGAGGGCGGUAUAAUACCAACGGGUCACCACAUGUUCACUGACCUACUGACCCCCAGUGCACUCACAGAGACACAUAUCACUGGAGAGGAGGCUGUGCAGCACCUGGCCAAGAGAAUGCAUUACAAUGAAGAGAUCCACAUUCUGAGGUCUGUUUGACCAUUCUAAGUAAAGUCAUGGGUCUCUCUGUGUUAGUUUAGAUAGGAGCCUGAUCUUGAACGCCUGACCUUUUUGCUUUAGUCGAACGUGGAACAUGAUACGUUAUCACUAUGAGAUGAGGAACACAUUAAGAGCUGGCUGCUCAGUUACAUUUCAUCCCUGGUCAAUCUCCUGAAGUUUUAUUUAUUUAUCAUGAUUUUUUUUUUUAUUAUUAUUGUUAGAAGUGACAUUUUAUUUAUUCAUUGCUGAAAGUCUAUGAGGGGAAAAUAAAAGUUCUGAGGUCUGUUUGACCAUUUAUUUCUCUUGAAUUGUUUUUAUUUUUAUUGUUAAAAGUGACCUUUUAGGGUCUGUCAGGGGUUUGCAGGAAAGGACCCAAUCCCAGACCAGAUGCAAAGAGUUCAGGGUUUAUUUUCCAAAAAUGUUAAACACGCAAAAGAUCCAGGCAAACUAAAAAUCCCAAAACACAGAAGACCCCCAAGUUAGGAGUCCAAAAACGGGCAGAGCAAAAAAACACAGAAGCAAGGCAGAGCAAGAAUACGGGAAAGAAUACAGGUUGACAGGACUCAGAAUCCCUCACCAUACUUAGACUGACGAACCAACACGAAACACAAGACAGACUUAACUUAAAUACCAAAAGGGGGAAACACAUAAUAGAACACAGAUGAACUAAACAAGGGGAUUUAACAAGAAGCAGGAGAAACCAAUCAGGCAAACCAACAGGGUAAUUAACAAAGCAGGCGUGACAGAAGGCAGGUGGGGGCGGAGCUCAAGAUGACAACAAAGAAGCACAUGGCAUGAACAAACAAACACGGGAAAGCACAUGGCGGGAACAAGGAAACACAAAACAAAGACAGAGCACAAUCCUGACAGGCUCACUAUGAGCAUGUGAUCACGCUUUUUUGGAGAACGGGGACAACUAAGUAAACAUGAGCUGACCAGGGAAGAUGUCUGACUGACUUAUUGAACCCAAGUGCCUUCAUGAGGGCGUAUGGUUUAUUUACUGAUGGAAUAGCUUUUGGACACUAGGGGCGGUAUAAUACCAACGAGUCAC